UAUCCCCGGGAUUCCUUCUUCAUUUUACCAAAUCUAACACACAUGAGUGGAAUAAAUGUCAAUUAAGCUCAAUCGGAGCACUCAUCGUAGAGAAAGACAGGCGGGAAACAUUUAGCGGGGCGAUUCCUUAAUCUCUAAAUGGCAACAUAGGUUUAGGGGCAUUUUCCAAUGGGAAUAAUCUAAUAAUACCCUUCCAAAGGAGCAAACACUUUUCAAAAAAGGAGAUCGAACCACUGGGAUCUGAUACCUGGCUCUAUAAUGGGUUUCCCAAGAUCUUUUUCUUCCUUGGCUCUAAUAGGUUUACCUGGCUCUAAUAGGUUGGAUGAUCUUUUUCUUCUAUUACGGGGUGGGCAUGACAGCUCCUAAAAGCAUUCUUUUCUAUCUUGUACAUGACAGCUCCUAAUAGCAUUCUUUUCUAUCUUGUACCCAGUACACAGAAUACCAACCCCAUCUCGACAAAAAAGUGGAAUCGAUUCCAUCAUUCAAGUCGGAUAGCUCUACUAAGACCUACGUGAAAAGCUUUCUUCUCUUAUGCAAGAUUGAAUAGCAAACUAUGGUUAUUUCAAACACCGUAUACUGUCCCACCAACUGAUCCUUGGGUUCAUGCCGCACAGAAACCUAGACCUGAUAAGGAGGCAGUAGGAGAGAGUCCAGCAUAACGGAAAUCAUCUAAGCCGACAAGGACCCGGAGGAUGCUGAGGAAGAAGGCUUCCGUUCUUCUCUUAGGAAAAUCCAGACUGCAGCAGAGAAGGCAACCAUUAGGUUGGUGAGAUGGUAAAGUACCCAGCGGAAGGUAAGGCUGGGAAAGACCACAAUACGCUGGAGAAGGGAAAGACCUCGUCAACUCCGUAUUCUUAUUAGCUUUCUUUCAGGCUCCGAAAGCUGACCUGAUGGAGGAAUACUUUCCGGGAGUAAAGCAGUCAGACCCGAAAAUGAGCUAAAGUUCAAAUGAGCCAAAGUUGCAAGUGUUGUUAGGUAACUUACCUUCUAAGGUAGAUUGCAAGAUGGAUGAUCCUUACUUUCCAAAGAGAGUUAAUGGCUAAAACCAAUCAGGAUCAAUCUUAGGAAAGGGAUGUGGUAUAUACUCUGUAAGCUUGCCAUUAGGUAGUUAUUCCAAAAGUGCCCCGAGGCAAUGUCAAUUGAAGAAGGAAGGUUUUUCUCAUUAUCACUGACGGUCUAACCAAGGAACUAAGUUUUGGAGCUUACCCGUUAUCCAGGUCUGUUAUUAGGAUAGGACGGAAGUCGGGGCACUGCGCUUUAUCUCUUUAGCAGUGUGCUUCUUCCCUUCUUAAUGGAUCGGUCAAGCUCUUCUUAUCUUUCUAACUUGCCAACUUAGUUCCCGAC
rnacentral:lncRNA from 1 species